rnacentral:rRNA from 1 species
GACGAACGCUUGCGGCGUGCCUAAGAAAUGCAAGUCGAGCGGGGGAGCAAUCCCUAGCGGCGAACGGUCGCGUAACACGUAAGCAACCUGCCCGAAAGACCGGGACAACAGUUCGAAAGGGCUGCUAAUACCGGAUGCGCCCACGCGGAGACCUCUCUGUGUGAGUAAAUCGCGCAAUCGGCUUUCGGAGGGGCUUGCGGCCUAUCAGCUAGAUGGCGGGGUAACGGCCCACCAUGGCGACGACGGGUAGCUGGUCUGAGAGGAUGGUCAGCCGGAC